rnacentral:sRNA from 1 species
GGUAAUAUUGGGCGGAGGUCGCCAAGAGUUUCUACCCAACUUCACCUCUGACCCAGAAGACAAAGGUAAAUUUGGACAACGAUUAGACGGGGUUAACUUGGCCGAAACCUGGUUGGCAUCAAAACCCGACAACUCUAAAUCAUUCUUUGUCUGGAACGAAACGUCGUUUGAUGACGUCAAUCCAGAAAGCGCAGACUAUCUUUUGGGAUUGUUUGAGCGAAGUCAUAUGAACUACGAAGCAAACCGACCCAAUGACACUGCCGGAGAGCCGUCUCUUGCCGACAUGACAGAAAAGGCCAUCAGAAUGCUGAAGAAAUACAAUAAAGGAUAUUUCUUACUGGUUGAAGGUGGUCGCAUGGACCAUAGUCACCAUGAAGGGAUAGGGUACCAUGCAUUGGUAGAUGGCGUUGCCUUCGAAGAGGCUAUCAAGAGAGCCAGUGACAUCACUAAUGACGAUGACACGCUCACAAUCGUAACAGCUGACCAUAGUUUUGCAUUUGAUAUUCUUGGAUACGCAAGUAGAGGCAAUCCAAUAUUGGGUAAGUAUGCUCCACACGUCCCAUGCAUACUUCUACAAUAUGGAAGUUACUACUCAGUACCCAUUAACCACACAGGACUACGACCAAUUAUUACCAAUCCACAGUCAAGGGAUUACUUGCAGCAAGCACUGGUUCCCAAUAAAUGGGCCAGUCAUGAUGGCGAAGAUGUUAUGAUCUAUGCUAAAGGUCCCAUGGCUCAUCUUUUCCAUAGUACGCAUGAGCAGACCUACAUCAUGCAUGCUAUGCAGUACGCAGCAUGUAUAGGGGAUGAUAACACCAAUCAGUGUAAAUCCAAAAAUGAACCAAUGACAUGUGGUUCCAUGAACAUAAUGACCAAUUAUGGGACAAUGAUGUUUAUUGUUUUUGGUUUAUUGAUGCAAUCGUAAAAUUUAAAUAUGGUGAUCUUAUUAAUUUUUAAAAGUAGACCUUUAUUGGAUUAAUCAUACACUGAUGUUAAUUUCACUGAUACAUUUUCACACCAAAUUUUAUUAAAUUACUUGCUUUUUUUUUUGAUUAAUUUGUAAAAUUGAUAUGUUAUAUUCUACAUUUUAAAAAAGUCUACAUGCAAAUACGGGAGGGUCGUCACAUGCGAACGCAUGGGAAUUGAGUCCCACGCGAUGAUAACACACGCUAAAAACGCAAAGGCUCAUGGGUAGACUCUUGUUUGUAAACAAUAACAAGCUAUAGCCAUCUGACGCAUGCGCAGGUGACGACUCCGCUGCUUUAAUUUUAUGUAACGAUGCUGUUUAAUGCUUGAAUGUUAUUUGUAACAUUAAUAUUUGUUAUCUUCUAUAAUUUAAUGAAAGAAUGACAUAUGCAUUAAUUCUACUGAACAAUAUCGUUUGUUCAUUGACUUGAUUUCAUUGAUUCAUUUGUAACAUUUAUAUAUUAUUAUCUCAUAUAAUUUAAUAAAGGACUAACACAUGCA